AAAAACCGAAACAAAUUUGUUUUUUAGUUUUAAAAGCUUUUAUAUGACACAUCUGCUUGAAAUUUUCCAUCACCAAAGCGCAAACUGUCUGCUGUAUGCCAUAAAUAGCUUCACGAAAUCUACCGUUGAGGUCUUUAGUCGACGUUGGCGUGUUGGCACAUCUUUUCGAUGGAGAAUAGGCAAGGUGUUAAAGAACAAGAUCCCGGUUUCCAAUUGCGAUCACCUCUUCGAGAGAUAACACGGUGCGGAAACUUUCCCUUAACAGAUUGAUGGCUUAUUUGCUUGUGUGCGCCAGAUCCUGCCGGAAUCAUAAACCGCACCAAACAGUUAACAAUAAAUCUUGGGUUUUCCAAGCCCCCAAAUGCGAGAGUUGUGCUUAGUGACGUAGCCAGCAAGGUGGAAAUGGGCCUCAGCAGUCAAUAUGAUUUUUCGAUGAAAUUCCAGAUCAAUUUCCGCUCAGAAAAGACACGACGUUGUUGAUGAUCGGUUAGCUUGAGGUUAACUGAAUUUUAAAAGCCUUAAAUGGGUCUUUAUGUAAUAUACGGUGUAAUGACGUCAAAAAAAAAACAGCUUCAAAACUUUUUCCGAUGAAUUUUCGAUAACAAAAAAAUAAAAAAAUGUGUCGAAUCCGUUAUGAUUGAUUGAGCUACUAAUUACGAAAGGAAGGAAAGAAUACAGUUGGGAAAUGGAUUAAAGUGCGGUGGAGACAAACAAACUACAUAUAUACGAUUCAUUCAAGCAAUAAACUCAUUUUUCUCAGAGUCUGGUCUGGUCUAGAGCGCAAAAAAAUGGGCAAAUUUUAUGAAUUUCUUUUGACCCAACAAAGGAAUCAAUCCAAAA